rnacentral:pre_miRNA from 1 species
GAUUUGAACUGAAAAAGUCAUCAACAACAAAGUUAUAUAACUCAUCAAGAUCUAUAACUUUUAUGUUUGUCAUUACUUCAUCCGAUAAAGUGUUAGUAACAUUUUUCACAAAAUUGAUAUAUGUGUUAUAGUCUAUAUAUACCAGAUAAGAAAUAUGUAAAUUUUGUGAACAAUAUUACUAUCAUUUUAUCGGAUGAAGAAAUGACCAAAAUAAUAGUUAUAGAUAUUAAUGAGUUAUACAUCUUUAUUGUUGAUGACUUUUUCAAUUGAAAUC